AUUGAACGCUGGCGGCAGGCCUAACACAUGCAAGUAGAGCGAGCGGCGGACGGGUGAGUAAUGUCUGGGGAUCUGCCUGAUGGGGGGGGAUAACUACGAGAAACGGUAGCUAAUACCGCAUAACCUCAGAUGACCCCAUAUGGGAUUAGCUUGUAGGUAAUGUAACGGCUUACCUAUGCAGCAAUCCCUAGCUGGGCUGAGAGGAUGAUCAGCCACACUGGGACUGAGACACGGCCCAGACUCCUACGGGAGGCAGCAGUGGGGAAUAUUGCACAAUGGGCGCAAGCCUGAUGCAGCCAUGCCGCGGGUAUGAAGAAGGCCUUCGGGUUGUAAAGUACUUUCAGUCGGGAGGCGUUACCGACAGAAGAAGCAACGGCUAACUCCGUGCCAGCCGCCGCGGUAAGUC
rnacentral:rRNA from 1 species